GACGUAGGGCGCGAGCGUUGUCCGGAUUUAUUGGGCGUAAAGAGCUCGUAGGCGGCUUGUCGCGUCGACUGUGAAAACCCGUGGCUCAACCAUGUGGUCUGCAGUCGAUACGGGCAGGCUAGAAUUCGGUAGGGGAGACUGGAAUUCCUGGUGUAGCGGUGAAAUGCGCAGAUAUCAGGAGGAACACCCGUGGCGAAAGCGGCUCUCUGGGACGGUACUGACGCUGAGACGCGAAAGCGUGGGGAGCAAACAGG
rnacentral:rRNA from 1 species